GACGAACGCUGGCGGCGUGCCUAAUACAUGCAAGUAGAACGCUGAAGGAGGAGCUUGCUUCUCUGGAUGAGUUGCGAACGGGUGAGUAACGCGUAGGUAACCUGCCUGGUAGCGGGGGAUAACUAUUGGAAACGAUAGCUAAUACCGCAUAAUAUUGACUAUUGCAUGAUAGUCAGUUGAAAGGUGCAACUGCACCACUACCAGAUGGACCUGCGUUGUAUUAGCUAGUUGGUGGGGUAACGGCUCACCAAGGCGACGAUACAUAGCCGACCUGAGAGGGUGAUCGGCCACACUGGGACUGAGACACGGCCCAGACUCCUACGGGAGGCAGCAGUAGGGAAUCUUCGGCAAUAGACGGAAGUCUGACCGAGCAACGCCGCGUGAGUGAAGAAGGUUUUCGGAUCGUAAAGCUCUGUUGUAAGAGAAGAACGAGUGUGAGAGUGGGAAGCUCACACUGUGACGGUAUCUUACCAGAAAGGGACGGCUAACUACGUG
rnacentral:rRNA from 1 species